CCUACGGGGGGCAGCAGUAGGGAAUCUUCCACAAUGGGCGCAAGCCUGAUGGAGCAACGCCGCGUGAGUGAUGAAGGCCUUCGGGUUGUAAAACUCUGUCUUCUGUGACGAACAAGUAUGUGAGUGGAAAGCUCAUACCCUGACGGUAACAGAGGAGGAAGCCACGGCUAACUACGUGCCAGCAGCCGCGGUAAUACGUAGGUGGCGAGCGUUGUCCGGAAUCACUGGGCGUAAAGCGCGCGCAGGCGGCGAUCUACGUCUGGGGUGAAAGCCCGGAGCUCAACUCCGGGACUGCCUUGGAUACGGGAUCGCUUGAGGAUUGGAGAGGCAAGGGGAAUUCCACGUGUAGCGGUGAAAUGCGUAGAGAUGUGGAGGAACACCUGUGGCGAAGGCGCCUUGCUGGCCAAUUACUGACGCUGAGGCGCGAAAGCGUGGGGAGCAAACAGGAUUAGAUACCCCCGUAGUC
rnacentral:rRNA from 1 species